rnacentral:lncRNA from 1 species
UUUUCAUAUAAGCUUAAAUGUUUAAUCAGACACAGUUGAGAAACCUUUCUAGAAUUUAAUAUAAAAACAUUUGACAUUCCAUUAGUGUAAAGUUGUGCACAUGUUGAGAAAAUUGCCAUCUGAAAGAAAAUUCGGUCUUCAAAUAUCUUUAUUGGAAGGCCAUGCACUGCCUUCUGUUACUGUAUUUCAAAUCACUGUACAUUUACUUUGAAAACACUGUCUGCAUUUUCUAGUACAAAAAACUAAAAAUUGUUUCAGGAAUGUAGAGAAAUAUUCAACUUAAAUAGCGAAAAAGUGCACCAUAAUUACUGCUGCACUGCAGUCAUUUCUGCGUUUCCCAUUUCUUAAAUAACUAUCCUGUUCUGAGAUAACACACAAUAUAAAGAGCAAUUAUGAAAAACUGAGACAUUUAAAUACACUAAGUUAUUGAGAAUAACUCGCUGGCAUUGGGUAACCUAUCAUAGGAGCAGCACCAGUGGCAGGAUAUGCAUACUGCUGUUGGUUCAUGCCAUUGUGCAUAUUUGCAAUGUUACUUCCAUACUGCUGAUCAUAACCAUUCUGGUAAGCUCCUGCAGGGUUACCAGCCCUGAAGCCAGCUUGCAUGCCUGCAGCUGCAAAGCCAUUUCCAAAAGGAGUUCCAUUACUGAAACUCUGGGUACUGUAGGCCCCAUUUUGAGCUUUGGCUCCAAAGUCUCUCUUUCCUAGUGCACCAUAAGUUCUCUCAAAGUUCUCCCUCUCUCUAAAGCUACUAAAUCCACCCCUUUUGCCCGCAGAGUAUCUGUCACGUCGGUCACCUCGGGAACGACCUGAACCUCUGUCUUCAAUCAACUGAAGCAAUUUAGGGUUGAUGGCUUGAUUAGCCUCCCGAAGCACAGAGAUGAGGUCAUUUACUUGCUUAAUAUUGUUAGGAGUAAAGAAUGUAUAUGCUGUGCCUGUUUUGGUACUGCGGGCAGUUCGUCCAAUUCGGUGGAUAUAGUCCUCAGAGGAGUUAGGGUAGUCAUAAUUGAUGACAAAUUUCACAUCUUCCACAUCUAGACCUCUGGAUGCAACAUCUGUAGCAAUCAGGAUUGGUGCUUUUCCAUGUUUGAAUUCAUUUAGAACCCAGUCUCGCUCCUGCUGGCUUUUAUCACCAUGAAUACCCAUUGCUGGCCACCCAUCUCUCCUCAUUUUCCUGGUAAGAUCAUCACACCGUCUUUUGGUUUCCACAAAAACAAUCGUCUUAUUUUCCUUCUCACUCAUGAUUUCUUCCAUCAAACGAAUAAGCUUGUCGUCCUUCUCCACAUCAUGACACACAUCAACAAUCUGAAGAAUGUUGUGGUUUGCACUCAGUUCUAACGCACCAAUGUUGAUGUGUACGUAUUCUUUUAAAAAGUCUUCAGCCAGCUGCCUAACUUCCUUCGGCCACGUGGCACUCCACAUCAGAGUUUGCCUGUCAGGUCUUAUCUGAUCCACAAUUUUUCUGAUUUGAGGUUCAAAUCCCAUGUCAAGCAUCCUGUCCGCUUCAUCAAGGACAAGGUAAGUGCACCUCCUGAGGUUGGUCUUUCCAGCUUCUAAGAAGUCUAUAAGUCUUCCAGGUGUUGCAAUGCAAAUUUCCACACCUCUUUCUAAAUCACGAAUUUGUGGUCCCUUUGGAGCACCUCCAUAAAUACAUGUAGACUUCAAGCGACAUGCUCUGCUAUAUUCAGCAGCUACCUGCUGCACUUGCUGAGCCAGUUCACGAGUUGGUGCCAGCACAAGACAAAUAGGUCCAUCUCCUCUCUCCAGGAAUGGCUGAUGAUUUAUAUGCACAAUAGCAGGCAACAAGUAAGACAGCGUUUUCCCUGAUCCAGUCUGUGCAACUCCAACCAUAUCUAAUCCACUCAAGGCAACAGGCCAUCCUUGUGCUUGAAUAGCAGUAGGCUCGGUGAAGUUCUGCCUCUGAAUCACUUCCAUAACAUUUGCAGGAAAGUUAGCUUCAUAGAAGUUUAUUAUUGGUUUUGGACAGUUGUGGCCCCUAACUGUGACUUCUUUGCUUGAUCUGUACUGCUCAACCUCUUGCGCAGUACGUCUAACUACGUCAGGAUGUUCUUGAUAGAAGUUCUUUUCAAAUUUGGGCAGUUCAUCUAAAUUCCAUUUCUUUUUGGUAAGCUUUUCCCCAGGGUUUCCAAAUUUUUUCCCGGAAAGUGGACCGGCUCUACUUCCUCCAAAUCGAGGGGCUCCAAACCCGGGCAUGGCGAUGGUGGCGGUGGGCGAGACGGUCCCGAUCGCUAAAGAAGAUGACGAAGGGCACGACGCGGAUCGGCGCCGUCGGUGGGGG